AAUACCUAAAACAACGAAAGCCCUAACCUCUCUUUCGUCCUUGCAGCUCCGAAGCUGCGCCAGUGUGAAUCAGAUAUUACUUUAAAAC
rnacentral:sRNA from 1 species